UGGGAUUAGAUACCCCACUAUGCUCAUCCUUAAACUUUGAUAGGCCACUACAACCCCUAUCCGCCCGGGUAUUACGAGCUCUAGCUUAAAACCCAAAGGACUUGGCGGUGCUUUAGAUCCAUCUAGAGGAGCCUGUCCUAUAACCGAUAUUCCCCGUUAAACCUCACCCUCUCUUGCUCUUCCCGCCUAUAUACCGCCGUCGUCAGCCGACCCUGUGAAGGACGAAUAGUUUGCAAAAUUGGUAAAGCCCAAAACGCCAGGUCGAGGUGUAGCGAAUGAGAGGGGAAGAGAUGGGCUACAUUUCCUGGACUCAAGGAAAUACGGAUGCUAUACUGAAAUACUAUUUUUGAAGGAGGAUUUAGCAGUAAGUAGAAAUCAGAGUGUUCUACUGAAUCUGGCUCUGAAGCGCGCACACAC
rnacentral:rRNA from 1 species